UCGGUUGCAUUUUCCGGUGCGUCUCUCUCUGCCUCAGCAGAAAGUGUAAGCUGAUAGGGAGAGCUGACAAACUGCAACACUAGAACGUAAACUGAAUCCAGUACAUUGUAGAGUUCACUGCAAUGCUUCGCUGGAAAGGCGUCACCAUAGCAACACUGCUUCCUACAUCACAACAUGCAUUAAGCCGGCUGUGUCUCUCCAUGGAGCACAUCUUCACCGUAAAUAAGAAUGAAACACACGUCCUGAUGUGACUACCACCCGCCCUCUCUCAAGAGAAAGCCAAAGGUUCUCCAAACAUCUGGAUCCCAUCCGGAGGCUGUGGUUGGCCAGCAGCGCAGAUGUUUGCAGACAUGAGAACAUCCCAUGGGUUGCUGGCAUCUGUAGCCGGUCAGCUGCUGCCAUUACACCACACUGAUGUAUUACUCAGAUGGGAAAAGCCCGGGUUUCAUUCAGCGUUUGUGUGUGGAUGUGGCAACAUAUGGCUGUGCUUGUCUAUCUGUUUGUUUGUUUGUUCACAUGCCAUCAUUCCUACAUUAAAAUCACACCCCUAUGAAGAAUUACUGACUGACACAAUUUAAACCUUAUGCUCACAAGUCAUAAAA